GCUGGGAGCAGUGGUGCACACCUGUAAUCCCAGCAGCUCAGGAGGUUGAGACAGGAGGAUCACAGGUUCAAAGGCAGCCUCAGCAACAUCAAAGCACUAAGUAACUCAGUGAGACCCUGUUUCUA
rnacentral:sRNA from 1 species